UACGUAGGGUGCGAGCGUUAAUCGGAAUUACUGGGCGUAAAGGGUGCGUAGGCGGCGGGGUAAGUCUGAUGUGAAAUCCUGGGGCUCAACCCCAGAACUGCAUUGGAUACUGCCUUGCUAGAGUACUGGAGAGGAAACUGGAAUUUACGGUGUAGCAGUGAAAUGCGUAGAGAUCGUAAGGAAGACCAGUGGCGAAAGCACUCUGCUGGGCCGACACUGACGCUGAGGAGCGAAAGCGUGGGGAGCGAACAGG
rnacentral:rRNA from 1 species